GUGGAUAUAGCUCAGUGGUAGAGCGCAUGUUUAGCAUGCAUGAGGUCCUGGGUUCAAUUCCUAGUACCUCUA
rnacentral:tRNA from 1 species